UCCCUGGCAGUCCAGUGGUUAGGACUCUGAGCUUCCACUGCAGGGGACACAGGUUUGAUUCCUGGUCAGGGAA
rnacentral:tRNA from 1 species